CUAUUAGACAGUCUACUACAGGUCUGGUGUUUAUCUAUUAGACAGUCUACUACAGGUCUGGUGUUUAUCUAUUAGACAGUCAGUCUACUACAGGUCUGGUGUUUAUCUAUUAGACAGUCAGUCUACUACAGGUCUGGUGUUUAUCUAUUAGACAGUCAGUCUACUACAGGUCUGGUGUUUAUCUAUUAGACAGUCUACGACAGGUCUGGUGUUUAUCUAUUAGACAGUCAGUCUACUACAGGUCUGGUGUUUAUCUAUUAGACAGUCUACGACAGGUCUGGUGUUUAUCUAUUAGACAGUCUACUACAGGUCUGGUGUUUAUCUAUUAGACAGUCGGUCUACUACAGGUCUGGUGUUUAUCUAUUAGACAGUCUACGACAGGUCUGGUGUUUAUCUAUUAGACAGUCUACUACAGGUCUGGUGUUUAUCUAUUAGACAGUCGGUCUACUACAGGUCUUGUGUUUAUCUAUUAGACAGUCUACUACAGGUCUGGUGUUUAUCUAUUAGACAGUCAGUCUACUACAGGUCUGGUGUUUAUCUAUUAGACAGUCUACUACAGGUCUGGUGUUUAUCUAUUAGACAGUCAGUCUACUACAGGUCUGGUGUUUAUCUAUUAGACAGUCUACUACAGGUCUGGUGUUUAUCUAUUAGACAGUCAGUCUACUACAGGUCUAGUGUUUAUCUAUUAGACAGUCUACUACAGGUCUGGUGUUUAUCUAUUAGACAGUCUACUACAGGUCUGGUGUUUAUCUAUUAGACAGUCAGUCUACUACAGGUCUGGUGUUUAUCUAUUAGACAGUCAGUCUACUACAGGUCUGGUGUUUAUCUAUUAGACAGUCUACUACAGGUCUGGUGUUUAUCUAUUAGACAGUCAGUCUACUACAGGUCUGGUGUUUAUCUAUUAGACAGUCAGUCUACUACAGGUCUGGUGUUUAUCUAUUAGACAGUCUACUACAGGUCUGGUGUU